GGACCAUGUCACUUGGGGUGCAGGUAUGCUUGUGUUUCUACAGAUGCAGGAAUUCGAUGGGUGCCUGCCCAGUGUGUGUGCCCUGCUCUGGAUCACAACCAGCAAGGCCUCCCCGAGGGCCCCUCAGCUGACCCUGGAACAAUGUUGGGGUAUCAGUAGCUCUAUGCAUUGAAUCAGAUGUGAUUUUGAGUGUCUAGGGCACACCCAGAACAACCUUUUCACACCUGCUUAGUGGGGGCACCCUUGAAUGGCACACAAAGUAUACAAGUAACACAAAAUGUUGUCAAAAUGCAAUGCUCUUCCCAGAGCAAUUUUAAUACUAAAACCCCCUGUAGGGAGCUGUGGGAUAUUUGGUAUGACAAUUUACCUGUUGCUUCACUUGAACCCCAAGAGUUAGACAUUUCAGGGACAUUAUCAGCAGAAGGAUGAGUAUUUUUUAAUUACAUACUGGAACAUGAUGUGUGGGACGGAAGUGGAACGGGAAAGCAAAAUGUUACCCCAAAUAGUUUCUGGAUUAAAUAGAUUGGCUUGCUUUGUAGCAAAAAGAGUAAAUGGAAAUUCUGAGUGCUUUGGUUACAGAUGUAGAUAGCAUGCAGCAUGCUGUUGAUUUUCUUUUGUUAGCUUAUGAACAUAGUUGUGAAGAGUUUGAUGGAAUGUGUUAUGUGGAGGAUUUUCUGGGACAGAUCACUGGCUGGAAGAGUUAGGUUUAUCAGGCUGGGUAAAGAGCCUCAUUCAAAGUGGGCUUAUUAUUUUUGUGUUACCAUAAUUAUUUUGCUCAUUGUGCUGUGUUUGUUAUCCUGUCUGCAAAGGGCUCUGGGAGGAUGGUGAAGACUGCCUUUGUAGUCGAAAUACAAAAAGGGGGAACUAUGGUUAACAGCUGGCCUUGAAGGCUCACAGACACAAGUAACCUUGUCCUUGACUUGACCAGCCUGUGCCCAUGAGAAAAGGAAGUCUUUAAGGAAGACUUUUUCUUCUUUAAGGAAGAAAACCAUGAAAAGUGGAAGGACUUAACUGCAAGGAAUGGAUGCUGGCCAGUCUUGGGCGAGCACAUAUGGAGGCAGCUAUUGGCCUGCAAUGUGAGCUAAUGGCACCAAGUGAUCAGCCAGCUGGGAUGGAAUGAGUUGCUUUUGAACACCAUAUAAACAUGAGCUGUGAACAAUAAAGAUCACUGUUCCUGCUUGAACCUUGGAGUGUUGUGUCUGUCUCUGCUGUGAUACAAAAGGACACGGGAAGUGUUCAGUGCUGCUCAUGAUGUGGAAGCCUAUAUCAUCUUGAUAUAUGCUAAUGAGUUUAGUAGUUUAGCUCAGUGUGUUUACACAAAACCACAAGCUACCUGUCUUGGGGAGCUGUUUGCUGUGAAGCAGCCCCAGAUGGAGGCAGACUUGUGGCUAGUUUAUUUCUGUCUUUCUGUGCUCAGCAUAUCUGGAGUUUUAUUCUGAAAUAAGCAGUCAGAGUUGCUAUGCCAAUAGUGCUGCUUAGGUUGUGGAGUGAGAUGAAAAAAGACUCUGCAGACAGAAUGUGAAUCAAGAAAAAGCCAUUGUGCUUCUAAACCUUGUUUCUAUUCUUAUCUUGGUCUACACAGUCACGCAUUGUCUAAUUGGUAGUUCUACUUUGUCCACCAGGCAGGCAUGCAUCUUUUCCUUAACCUAACUGGUCGAUGCUGGUAAGUGUCAUUUUACUCAGGUAAACCCCUGUGUUUGUCAGUAACUUUUCUGCUGCUUCUUCUUGCAACAACAGCUUUUCUAUACACAAAGAUGACCUUGGUCUUCAGUUCCAGGAGGUUAGGCUGGUUCAUUAAGUACAUGUCCAUUUUCCUGUAAAUAUGAUCCUACAGUGGAGGAGUGAGUGUGCUGCUUGUACAGUGCUCCCUGAAAUGCUGAUAAACCCCAGGAGAUGGGGUGGUUUAGUUAGAGCAGAGGAAAACACAUUAUUUUGCAAGGCUGCUCUACCUUCCUGUGGCUAAGGAUGGGCAGGGGAUAGACAGGCUCCUUGUGAGAGAGGAGUGCAAAAGGCUGUUGGGCAUUACAGCCAGUUCCCAGGGGUCUGAAUGGCAUGGAACCAAGGAAUGCUGAGAGCUGGUGUAAAAAAGAUCAAUCUGCUUCCCCCACAGACUGAUCAUCCAUUUUUCUCUAUAUUUGAUGAAUCCUCUACUUUGACAAAUCAGAAUAUAAGUUGUUCAGCAGAUCAUAGCCAGAAAAGUGCCCGCCAGCCUCUUGCUGUUCGUAAUCCUGUGGAUUCUCUGAGUGCCAAGGAAGGAGCAGCAGCAGCAGGAGCAGGAGCCUGUGAUGAGCUGAAUGGAAUUGAACGUUUGAGUGAGGAUGCAAUUGUGAGCGGCUCCUACAAGAACAAGACGCUUUGUGCCAACCCAGAGGACACGUGUGACUUUAACAGGGCUGCCCAGCUGGCCUCGACGCCCUUUCACGGGGUGGUAGCUCAGAGAGUGCCAGCUCCUGCUUUCUGUCAGGGUGAGCUGAAGGAAGAUAGCCCAGAAUCCAAGAGUGCACCUCUGAAUCAGGAGACACUGGUGUGUGUGUGGAGCACUGCAAAGGUUGAGGCUCAAAAUUAAGAAGGUGAGCCACUGGGGACAAUGGGAUCUCAUCUGUCAACCAAAAAAAAAGCUGCCGUGGCAGCAGAAGAAAAAGCUAUAGUGAAUGCAUGGACCCUUAUGUUGCACCUGCAUGGGAUAAAAUGCAAUAAAAAGGCUCUGUGCACUUUAUUGCAGUGGUGUCGGAACCAUGGGGUAGAUGCCAGCGUAAGAGCUGCAUUUAUUGUUAAAAACUGGGAACAGGCUGGUGAAUUGAUUUUUGAAUCAGCUUCUCGAGGAGAUGAGACUGCUAAAAAUAUUAUGACUACCUGGAGGCUCGUGCUGGAUACCUUGAAACUGCUGAAACCUGAGCAACCUGCAAAAACAGCAGCUGAGGCACCGCAGGCACCACCUGCCAAGACUCCCAGUGAUAGUGGAGCUCAAGAGGGAGCAGCUGGGGGAGUAGAAGCCACAUCGAGUUUGCAGGUGGAAAGGACGGGGGAAAACCUAGAAGGGAAGCAGCUGUCAUCCACGCCUCCUAUCCCUGCAACUCUGCCCACGCCGUGUGCCCCUACACCCCUGUGUCCUACACCUCCAGUUACCACAAACCCAUCCUCUCCUCCUCUGCCUAUGGAUGGCCGGAGUGAUGAUAAACUUCUGUCAACAGCCCCGCCAGUGCUUGAUAGGCCUAAUCACAACCUCGGCAUGGAAAUAGGAGCUGGCAGCCAAGCGGCACUCGGCGCUGAGAGUUCCGGCAGGGAGCUGCCAGCACCUGGAGUGGAGGGACACCACAUCCCAUCAUGUCCACAGCCAAAGCCUGAGAGGCCGAAGGAACCCCCUCCAUUAGUAGAUUUGUGGGAUCCUAACAGGGGAGGCCCAAGUUGUCACACCCCUGCUGGCCCUCAGGAGGAUGCUUUUACCAUGCGACCAGUACCAGCUACUGUCUCCGGCUGCAAUCGGGUUAGAUUUUGGCACUAUGUUAAAUUAAACUUUGUUGCUAGUGGGGAUCUUGAAGUUGCUGAACGACUUUCUGCACCACUAUCCCGGCUGUUCUUGGGUGGCCAAGAGCUUGUGUGUGGGACGACUGGCACUACUAUCUCAGCAUACAAUCCAGUUCGCUUUUGGGAACGUAUGCAAUUAAUGGCACUUGCUAGUGGAGAUUACAAAGUUGCUGAACGAAUUUCUGUACCUAAGCUCCCGCUGUCCUUGGGUGACCAAGAACUGGAAGACGAUUGGACUGAGCCCUAUAUUCAUGUCACCUUUAAAAUUCUCUCCCAGUUAUGCCAAGUAGCCACCCAACAUGGACUGGGGUCUCCGGUCGUAACAAGGAUGUUACGGCUUCUAGCUGAAGCUGAAAUGACACCCUUUGAUAUCAAGCAAAUAGCAGGGUUGCUCUGUACCCCGAUGGAAUACAUGGUGUUUGAGUCCACCUGGAAGCAGCAUGCAGAAAAGCAAGGGCUGCAUAAUUUAGUGGUGCCGCAGCAAGAUCCAUGCUUUGGGGCAGGGGUCCCUGAACUUCUGGGAUUGCCUCCCAUAAAUAACCCACAGGUGCAAGCACGCCUAAAUCCUUUGAUAUUGGCACAGGCAAGAGAUUUAGGAAUGCAGGCCCUGAUGAAAGUUGGAAACAUGGCAUUGGCAGCUCCAACUCAGAGUUUUGCAAAAAUUAAGCAGGGCCCCAAAGAGCCUUAUGUGGAAUUUAUAGAACGAUUAAAAGAUGCCAUGGAAAAGCAAAUAGCAAAUGACGAUGCAAAAAAUCUGUUGAUGUUGUCAUUGGCACGAGACAAUGCAAAUGAAGAUUGCAAGAAAGCUAUAGACUUAUUACCAAGAAAAAAUCCAUCCUUAGAUGAAAUGAUUAAUGCGUGUGCUGAAGUUGGAACUCUAUCUUAUGAAGUGUCUCUGUUAGCUGAUUCCUUGGCAGCUGCUCUAAGGUCGUACCAAUGCUAUGGAUGCGGGCAACUAGGUCACAAGAAAGCAAAUUGUCCCCAUAGGUACAACUCAUGGGGGACACGUCAGAAACAGAGAGCUGGGCCUGUAGUGGGAAGCUGUUACCGGUGUGGAAAACCCGGUCAUUUCGCCAAGCAAUGCAAGUCUAAAUUCCACGCCAACGGACAACCUCUCAGUGGACAGGGAAACUGGAACAGGAGUGCCAAGGGGAAGUGCUUGCAGACACGAGUACCUUCCCGUCCUUCAGUGCAGGCCUAUGGAACCAGGUCACAGGGAUGGCAGGAGGAUCAGCUGGCAUGGAUGUAUCUGUCGCUGGCAUUAUAACUUAGAGACUCAUUAAAGGUUUAUGAAAUCCCCCUCGAGGCCCAUGGGUCUGCUGGGGAAGGAUUAAGUACAUUACUAUUAAGAUGAUCAAGAGCAAUGUUACAGGGUUUUUUUGUCCACCCUGGAGUUACAGAUGCAGACUAUACUGGACAAAUAUGUGCUAUGGUAUCAACACCUCCUCCUCCUGUACCCCUUCCAGCUAAAAGUCUUGUUGUUCAACUUGUACCUUUUAAGUCUUGUGUUCCUAAAACAGACUCAAAGCUGCGAGAAAACAGAGGCUUUGGCUCGACGGGGGAACCUGAAGUGUACUGGACUCAGAUCGUAUCUGAUCAAAGACCAAACGUGGUUUGUACUCUUGCAAUGCCUCAGGCAAAUCCAUCCCACAUCAAGGUUAGUGGGAUGACAGAUACUGGAGCAGAUGUUACUAUGAUAUCUGCUAACACAUGGCCUCAAUCAUAGCCCACCACAGCUGUAGGAUCUGUUGUUCCCAGCCUUGGAGGUACCACACAAAGUUAGUUGAGUAGUAAGCCUGUGUUAGUUAAAAAUCCAGAACAGACAGCCACAGUCCAUCCCUGUGUUGCUGCUGUGCCACUCACCUAUGGGGAAGGGAUGUCAUGUCAGCGUGGGGGGUUUGGCUGGGAACAGAUUUUUGACAGGGGCCACUGUCUGAAGGGUGUAAAGCAUCCUACAUUAGCCUUAAAAUGACUCGCCAGAUGACCUGUGUGGGUUGAUUGGUGGCCCCUUGAAAAAGUAAAACUGAAUGCUCUUUAAUUGUUGGUCAAAGAGCAAUUAAAUCAAGGACAUAUUGAGCCAUCAACAAGUCCAUGGCACACUUCUGUGUUUAUGAUUAAAAAGAAAUCAGGUAAAUGAAAGUUAUUCCAUGUCUUAAGAAAAAUUUAUACAGUUCUGGAAAGUAUGGGUGCUUUAUAGCCUGGAAUGCCAUCCCCUACUAUGAUACCUGCUACUUGGGACAUUUUGAUUGUUGAUUUAAAAAACUGUUUCUUCACCAUUCCUUUACAUCCUGAUGAUAUCCCAAAUUUAUAUUUACAGUGUUCUUUGUCAAUCAUGCAGCAAAGAAGGCCUUUUACAGAUUCAGCCAAAAUUGAUGCAAACUUUUGGCUGCAAGAAUUCAGGUUGCAAAUUGCACCUGAAGAGGUGCAACAAGAACCCCCAUGGAACUACCUAGGAUUUAAAAUGUUAGACCAGACAAUACAGCCACAAACAAUUCCAUUUUCAACCAAGAUCCAAACAUUAAAUGGUGUACAAAAUCUUUUAGGUAUCAUUAACUGGAUAUGACUCUAUUUAGGGUUAACUACCCCACAUUUGUCACCCUUUUUUAAUAUUCUUAAAGGUUUCCCUGAGUUAACUUCCCCAAGCAUUGUGGUUUAACAUAGCUUGUUUUUUAGUUAAAACCUGUUUUGCCCUCCUCCUAAUUCUUAUCUCAUAACAGAAAGUGAGUAAAUAAUUCUAGUGGGUGCACUGGCAUUUGGCCAGCACUAGACCCACUACAUUAAUUGGUGUGUUGGCUGGAAAACUUGGAUUGGCAAACCAAAACUUAAUUGGUGUUUCUGCAGUUACUGAAACCACUGCAUCUUUUGGUGGAGAAUGCAUGCAAUUGGUGAAAGCUGUGAGAUAAUGAUUAAUUAGGAGAAAUAAAGGGCAAAGCAAGUAUUAAGUCAUAAGUUUAAAUAGAAUGAUAGUGGAAAAUUUAUGUUGUAAUUAUAGUGAAAUGACUAGAGGUUGGAGGUUAGAGUAAGAAAUUAUUUCCUUCUGUUUAGUUUAGUAAUUUUUAUUGUUCUAAAUAGAAGUUGUAUGUUGGAUAUAAUUUUGAUAAUUUUUAAAUGUGUAUUCACAGAGAUGAGGGGUGGAGAAUGUUGUUGUUUAACAUAACUUAGUUUUUGGUAAAGAGAAAAUCCAUCAGUUAUGGAAGUGAUUCUCUGUGAGGACUGCUAACAGCUUCCUCUGGGCCCAUCAGAACCCAUCAUCUGGCUAGUUUUGAAUAUUGACACCUUGUUAAACCACUUAAGGAAGCUGAACACACCCCUGUGUCAUCACAUUUUAAAAUGAACAAAACCCAGGAGAAGCUCUCUUGCUUCCAGCUUUUGAACAGGUAACUGGACACUGGCUGGGCCAGGCUGUGCUUCACCACGUGCCCCCCAUGACCUGGUAGGGCUGGGCUGGGCCCUGCUCUGCUGCAGCACUGGCCACACCUUUAAAACUGAUAAUGGCCCUGCCUAUAUCACACAGAAAACUCAUCAAUUCCUGCAGUUAUGGGGCAUGUCGCAUCUCACGGGCAUUGCUCAUUCCCCUACAGGCCAAGCCAUUGGUGAUCUUGCCCAUGGCACUUGAAGUGCAUUCUUGAAAAACAAAAAGGGACAAUGUCUGGUGAAACCCCACGGAGUAGGGUGGCCAAAGCUCUGUAUACAGUGAAUUGCCUUAUGACAUUGCCAAAAUCCCAAAACCCUCUUAUUUUAAAUAAUUUUUUGUCAUUGCAGUCCUCUAGUGAUAUCCAGUUGCCCAAGCCUAAGGUAUGGGUAUGGGAUCUCGUUACCAACCCGUGGGAAGGUCCUUGGGACCAUGUCACUUGGGGUGCAGGUAUGCUUGUGUUUCUACAGAUGCAGGAAUUCGAUGGGUGCCUGCCCAGUGUGUGUGCCCUGCUCUGGAUCACAACCAGCAAGGCCUCCCCGAGGGCCCCUCAGCUGACCCUGGAACAAUGUUGGGGUAUCAGUAGCUCUAUGCAUUGAAUCAGAUGUGAUUUUGAGUGUCUAGGGCACACCCAGAACAACCUUUUCACACCUGCUUAGUGGGUGCACCCUUGAAUGGCACACAAAGUAUACCAGUAACACAAAAUGUUGUCAAAAUGCAAUGCUCUUCCCAGAGCAAUUUUAAUACUAAAACCCCCUGUAGGAAGCUGUGGGAUAUUUGGUAUGACAAUUUACCUGUUGCUUCACUUGAACCCCAAGAGUUAGACAUUUUAGGGACAUUAUCAGCAGAAGGAUGAGUAUUUUUUAAUUACAUACUGGAACAUGAUGUGUGGGACGGAAGUGGAACAGGAAAGCAAAAUGUUACCCCAAAUAGUUUCUGGAUUAAAUAGAUUGGCUUGCUUUGUAGCAAAAAGAGUAAAUGGAAAUUCUGAGUGCUUUGGUUACAGAUGUAGAUAGCAUGCAGCAUGCUGUUGAUUUUCUUUUGUUAGCUUAUGAACAUAGUUGUGAAGAGUUUGAUGGAAUGUGUUAUGUGGAGGAUUUUCUGGGAGAGAUCACUGGCUGGAAGAGUUAGGUUUAUCAGGCUGGGUAAAGAGCCUCAUUCAAAGUGGGCUUAUUAUUUUUGUGUUACCAUAAUUAUUUUGCUCAUUGUGCUGUGUUUGUUAUCCUGUCUGCAAAGGGCUCUGGGAGGAUGGUGAAGACUGCCUUUGUAGUCGAAAUACAAAAAGGGGGAACUAUGGUUAACAGCUGGCUUGAAGGCUCACAGACACAAGUAACCUUGUCCUUGACUUGACCAGCCUGUGCCCAUGAGAAAAGGAAGUCUUUAAGGAAGACUUUUUCUUUAAAGAAGAAAACCAUGAAAAGUGGAAGGACUUAACUGCAAGGAAUGGAUGCUGGCCAAUCUUUGGCGAGCACAUAUGGAGGCAGCUAUUGGCCUGCAAUGUGAGCUAAUGGCACCAAGUGAUCAGCCAGCUGGGAUGGAAUGAGUUGCUUUUGAACACCAUAUAAACAUGAGCUGUGAACAAUAAAGAUCACUGUUCCUGCUUGAA